rnacentral:rRNA from 1 species
GAUGAACGCUGGCGGCGUGCCUAAUACAUGCAAGUCGAGCGAACGGACGAGAAGCUUGCUUCUCUGAUGUUAGCGGCGGACGGGUGAGUAACACGUGGAUAACCUACCUAUAAGACUGGGAUAACUUCGGGAAACCGUAGCUAAUACCGGAUAAUAUUUUGAACCGCAUGGUUCAAAAGUGAAAGACGGUCUUGCUGUCACUUAUGGAUGGAUCCGCGCUGCAUUAGCUAGUUGGUAAGGUAACGGCUUACCAAGGCAACGAUGCAUAGCCGACCUGAGAGGGUGAUCGGCCACACUGGAACUGAGACACGGUCCAGACUCCUACGGGAGGCAGCAGUAGGGAAUCUUCCGCAAUGGGCGAAAGCCUGACAGAGCAACGCCGCGUGAGUGAUGAAGGUCUUCGGAUCGUAAAACUCUGUUAUUAGGGAAGAACAUAUGUGUAAGUAUCUGUGCACAUCUUGACGGUACCUAAUCAGAAAGCCACGGCUAACUACGUG